rnacentral:lncRNA from 1 species
AUUUUUCUGCUUUUCCGGUGAGGUAAGCUCCAAACCUUCCCUUUUUCAUCCUAAAAUCUGGUGAAUGAAUUUUAAUGGAGGUUAUUUCGUGAUUUUUGAGGUUGUUAGGACGAAAUCGAAGCCGGGUGUAGGCACACCCAACUCCGGCGACCUCGGGGGUUUUUCCGGCCACCUCCGGCCGUUCCACGACGAAAGGAAGGUAUAAAAACACUCCCCUCGUCUUGCUCUUCAUUUUGGUACCUAGAUCGGGGUCUAGGGUUGUGUGUGGUAGUCGGCCGGAGUUGUGAAACUCCGGUGGUGGUGUUCUGGCGAGGCCAGGCCUCCCAGGCCGGUUCCUAUAGCAAGCGGGCCUUAGGCCCGUGUGGUGAGGGAGCCCAAGCCCAAACCCAAAUUCUUUUAUUUUUGUUUUUAUUUAAUUAUUUUGUUAAGACCAAAGGCCCUCGGGCCGUUUAUGUUUAGGGCCUGUAGCCCGUGACCCAACCUAAAACCUUUUAAGGUUUUAUUUAAUUUAUGUUUUAGAAAUUAAGGCCUUAGGCCAUUUAAAAGGUGGGCUUUCAGCCCUUUCCCCCAAAACCCUUAAGGCCUUUUGGCCCAGCCCAAAACCCAAAGCCCAGUUGACUUUGACCUUUGACCAGUUGACUGUUGACUCGGUCAACGGUCAGAGUUGACUUUGACUUUGACCGGUCAAUGGUCAACGUUGACUUUUUAGUUGACUUUUCAGGGUUUCGUUCAGGACCUCUCCUAGGCUAAUUUCGACGUCCUGGACCCGUUUUUGAAGUUCGUUUUCCCAAAUUCAAUCGUUUGAAUAUAGUUUGACUAAAGGUACUCCUUUAUGUGAAUAGGUGCAAUUAUUAACGGUGAUUCCGUUAUACCUUUUUGGUAUAGCUUUGCACCGUCGGUGUACGGUGAGUGGACCCCUUCAAAAGCAUGUUUUAAUAUUAGAAAUGCAUACAUGAAAAGCAUGAUUUAAUACUUAUGUUUUAUGAAGUACUUUAUGAGAUAACAUGUUUACUGAGGCUAGAUUGAAUUAUUACUAUUUUUCCUAUAACCCAGGUUCUUAUAGAAUAUCCGAUGGAUGACAAUAUGAUAUUUAGAACAUGUUUAGAACACCUCUUUGUAGUAUAGAUGAUGGAUGACUUUAUACUACGAAGUUGUUUUUCAAUAUAUA